GCGUGCAAGGGAGCACUCUUCCCCUGUGUGCUCCCUCUUCAGCUCCCUCGCGCACUGCACUGAUACUGGAGCCGUCAUCUUCCGGCUCCUGCAUCAGUACGUGGUGCGCGAGGGAGAUGAAAAGGGUGCACACGGGGGAGAGUGCUCCCUCCUGCGC